UCGUGGCAAGGAUCCACGGCAGCUGCAGUAGAUCUCAAAGCAAGGUCUAGAAGAGACUAAUAGAAGAAAGAAAAGAAGAAGAAUAUCACGUUACUGGGGAGAUUUAAGUGCUUUCUCUAUGUUACAGAAAGCAGAAAACCAAAGAAACAACUAUGUAAAAAACCUGUAGCUUCUCCACGGAGAUCUCAUCAGGCUUCUUCAUGAGCUCCUCUUUAGCUGU
rnacentral:lncRNA from 1 species